rnacentral:rRNA from 1 species
GGGCCCGCACAAGCGGUGGAGUAUGUGGUUUAAUUCGAUGCAACGCGAAGAACCUUACCAGGGCUUAAAUGCAGAGCGAAUAGUUUGGAAACAGACUAGCCUUCGGGCGAUCUGCAAGGUGCUGCAUGGCUGUCGUCAGCUCGUGCCGUGAGGUGUUGGGUUAAGUCCCGCAACGAGCGCAACCCACGUCUUUAGUUGCCAGCAUUUAGUUGGGCACUCUAGAGAGACUGCCGGUGAUAAGCUGGAGGAAGGCGGGGAUGACGUCAAGUCCUCAUGGCCCUUACGGUCUGGGCUACACACGUGCUACAAUGGUGGUGACAGAGGGCAGCAAUAUCGCAAGAUAAAGCUAAUCCCAAAAAACCAUCUCAGUUCGGAUUGGACUCUGCAACUCGAGUCCAUGAAGUUGGAAUCGCUAGUAAUCGUAGAUC